CCUACGGGUGGCAGCAGUAGGGAAUUUUCGUCAAUGGGCGCAAGCCUGAACGAGCAAUGCCGCGUGAACGAGGACGGUCUUCGGAUCGUUAAGUUCUGUUGAAGGGGAAAAAGAGCGGAGAGAGGAAAUGCUUUCUGAUUGAUAUUACGCUUCGAGGUAGUCACGGCGAACUACGUGCCAGCAGCCGCGGUAAUACGUAGGUGGCGUGCGUUAUCCGGUAUGAUUGGGGGUAAAGGGUGCGUAGGCGGCCUGGUAAGUCUGGAGUGAAAGGUACCGGCACAACCGGUACAGGGUCUGGAAACUGGCUGGCUAGGGGGCAGGGGAGGGCGGGGGAACUCCAUGUGUAGCGGUAAAAUGCGAA
rnacentral:rRNA from 1 species